rnacentral:pre_miRNA from 1 species
AACUUUUUGAAUCUAUUCAGAGAUUUUAACAAAUACCAACACAUCAGCGCUGUUCAGACUUCUAAGAUAAGUAAAGUU